rnacentral:rRNA from 1 species
UACGGGGGGGGCAAGCGUUGUUCGGAAUUACUGGGCGUAAAGCGCGCGUAGGCGGUUCGGUAAGUGGGAUGUGAAAGCCCUGGGCUCAACCUGGGAACUGCAUUCCAAACUGCCGAGCUAGAGUGUGGUAGAGGGAGGUAGAAUUUCCUGUGUAGCGGUGAAAUGCGUAGAUAUAGGAAGGAAUACCAGUGGCGAAGGCGGCCUCCUGGAUCAACACUGACGCUGAGGUGCGAAAGCGUGGGGAGCAAACAGG